rnacentral:rRNA from 1 species
UACGUAGGGGGCAAGGCGUUGUCCGGAAUCAUUGGGCGUAAAGAGCGUGUAGGCGGUUCGGUAAGUCGGCUGAUUGAAAGUCCAGGGCUCAACCCUGGGAAUGCCGGUCGAUACUGCCGGACUAGAGUUCGGAAGAGGCGAGUGGAAUUCCCGGUGUAGCGGUGAAAUGCGCAGAUAUCGGGAAGGAACACCAUAUGGCGAAGGCAGCUCGCUGGGACGUUACUGACGCUGAGACGCGAAAGCGUGGGGAGCAAACAGG